UACAGAGGUCUCAAGCGUUUGUUCGGAUUCAUUGGGCGUAAAGGGGUGCGUAGGCGGCGCGGUAAGUCGGGUGUGAAAUCUCGGGGCUUAACUCCGAAACUGCAUUCGAUACUGCCGUGCUUGAGGACUGGAGAGGAGACUGGAAUUUACGGUGUAGCGGUGAAAUGCGUAGAUAUCGUAAGGAAGACCAGUGGCGAAGGCGGGUCUCUGGACAGUUCCUGACGCUGAGGCACGAAGGCCAGGG
rnacentral:rRNA from 1 species